GACGUAGGGGGCCAGCGUUGCUCGGAAUUACUGGGUGUAAAGGGUUCGUAGGCGGUUGGGUAAGUCGGGUGUGAAAACUCAGGGCUCAACUCUGAGACGCCACUCGAUACUGCUCUGACUCGAGUCCGGUAGGGGAGCGUGGAAUUCCCGGUGUAGCGGUGAAAUGCGCAGAUAUCGGGAGGAACACCAGUGGCGAAGGCGGCGCUCUGGGCCGGAACUGACGCUGAGGAGCGAAAGCGUGGGUAGCAAACAGG
rnacentral:rRNA from 1 species